ensembl:snoRNA
GGCAGGUGAUGUCUAGUAAUUUCACGAUGGUCUUCAGAGGGCCACCGCGGGCACUGCUGAGAAAGCUGUUAUGCAUAGAUGAUGCCAGAAG